ensembl:snRNA U1 U1 spliceosomal RNA
AUACUUACCUGGCAGGGGAGAUACCAUGAUCACGAAGGUGGUUUUCCCAGGGCGAGGCUUAUCCAUUGCACUUCGGAUGUGCUGACCCCUGCGAUUUCCCCAAAUGUGGGAAACUCGACUGCAUAAUUUGUGGUAGUGGGGGACUGCGUUCGCGCUUUCCCCUG